GCCUCCGUGGAUCAGUGGUAGAUCGCUCUAGCAAAAUAUAAGUUUAAUUAGCUUUUGACAGGGAGCCGUGGGUUCGAAUCCCACCAGAGGCA